GUGCUUGCUUCGGCAGCACAUAUACUAAAUUGGAACGAUAUGGAGAUUAGCAUGGCCCUCCGCAAGAGUGACACGCAAAUUUGUGAAGCAUUCCAUAAAAAA
rnacentral:snRNA from 1 species